UACGGAGGGUGCGAGCGUUGUCCGGAAUCACUGGGCGUAAAGGGCGCGUAGGCGGCGCGGGGAGUCAACGGUGAAAGCUCGGCGCUCAACGCCGAGUCGGCCGUCGAUACUCCCGUGCUCGAGCACUGUAGAGGCAGGUGGAAUUCCGGGUGUAGCGGUGGAAUGCGUAGAGAUCCGGAAGAACACCGGUGGUGAAGGCGGCC
rnacentral:rRNA from 1 species